GCUUAAAAGGGAGUCAGGGUCCACGGCACAGCCCCAUCAUUGCAGGGACGUGGAGCUGGUGGGAUCACACCAUGGCCUGGGUCCCUCUCCUCCUCGUGGUGCUUGCCCACACCUCAGGUUCUCUUGUCCAGGCAGCGCUGACUCAGCCGUCCUCAUUGUCUCACAGGGUGGGAGACACUGUCAAGAUCCCCUGCUCUGGGAGCAGCUACAACUGGUAUGGCUGGUACCAGCAGAAGGUCCCUGACAUUGCCCCUGUCACUGUGAUCUAUGCUAACAGCAACAGACCCUCGAACAUCCCUUCACGAUUCUCCGGAUCCGUGUCGGGCUCCACGGCCACAUUGACUAUCGCUGGGGUCCAAGCCGAGGACAAGGCUGUCUAUUUCUGUGGUGCCUGGGAGAGCAGCAGUGGUGGUUUUAUAUUCGGGGCUGGGACCGAUGUGACCAUCAUAAGCCAGCCCGAGGUCGCUCCCUCCCUCUACGUCUUCCAGCCGUCGUCCGAGCAGAUCUUGAAUGAGAACAAAGCCACCCUGGUGUGUCUGGUGCAGGGCUUCUACCCCGAGCAUGUGGAUGUGGAAUGGUUGGCUGAUGGCACCCUCCUCACAAAUAACGUGCAGACCAGUCAGCCCGUGCGGCAGAGUGACAGCAAGUACAUGACCAGCAGCUACCUGUCACUGGAUGCCAGCCAGUGGCAAAGUUACAGCACAUACUCCUGCAAGGUCAAGCACGAGGCUGGCAAUGUGGAGAAGACAGUGAACAGAUCCUACCCCAUCAUUGCAGGGACGUGGAGCUGGUGGGAUCACACCAUGACCUGGGUCCCUCUCCUCCUCGCAGUGCUCGCCCACACCUCAGGUUCUCUUGUCCAGGCAGCGCUGACUCAGUCGUCCUCAUUGUCUCACAGGGUGGGAGACACCGUCAAGAUCCCCUGCUCUGGGAGCCGCUACAACUGGUAUGGCUGGUACCAGCAGAAGGUCCCUGACAGUGCCCCUGUCACUGUGAUCUAUGCUAACAGCAACAGACCCUCGAACAUCCCUUCACGAUUCUCUGGAUCCACAUCAGGCAACACAAACACAUUGACCAUCACUGGGGUCCAACCCGAGGACGAGGCUGUCUAUUACUGUCAUACCUGGGAGAGCAGCAUUGAUCUAUUCGGGUCCGGGACCCAUGUGACCGUUAUAAGCCAGCCCGAGGUCGCUCCCUCCCUCUACGUCUUCCAGCCGUCGUCCGAGCAGAUCUUGAAUGAGAACAAAGCCAUUGUGGUGUGUCUGGUGCAGGGCUUCUACCCUGGGCAUGUGGAUGUGGAAUGGUUGGCUGAUGGCACCCUCCUCACAAAUAACGUGCAGACCAGUCAGCCCGUGCGGCAGAGUGACAGCAAGUACAUGACCAGCAGCUACCUGACACUGGAUGCCAGCCAGUGGCAAAGUUACAGCACAUACUCCUGCAAGGUCAAGCACGAGGCUGGCAAUGUGGAGAAGACAGUGAACAGAUCCUAGUGCCCCUAAGCCCACUGGAACCUCCUCACACCCACCAGCCCUUUGCUGGCUCCCUCCCUCCUCCCCACUUCUGGGGACAGCGGCUCCCCACAGCUGCACACCUCGCUCCCCAUGUUCCCCUGUCCCCUGCUCCUGUUCCCCCACUAUGAGUGUCAGACAAAUAAAAACUGACACUGAACUAGUGCUGGCUCAGCA